AUUGAACGCUGGCGGCAGGCCUAACACAUGCAAGUCGAACGAGUGGCGGACGGGUGAGUAAUGUCUGGGAAACUGCGCGAUGGAGGGGGAUAACUCCUGGAAACGGUAGCGAAUACCGCAUACCAUCGGAUGAGCCCAGGUGGGAUGAGCUUGUAGGUGGGGUAAAGGCUAACCUAGGCGCCGAUCCCUAGCUUGUCUGAGAGGAGGACCAGCCAGACUGGAACUGAGACACGGUCCAGACUCCUACGGGAGGCAGCAGUGGGGAAUAUUGCACAAUGGGCGCAAGCCUGAUGCAGCCAUGCCGCGUGUAUGAAGAAGGCCUUCGGGUUGUAAAGUACUUUCAGCGAGGAGGCGUUACUCGCAGAAGAAGCACCGGCUAACUCCGUGCCAGCAGCCGCGGUAAUAC
rnacentral:rRNA from 1 species